AAACCACAAUAGGGGUACUACCUUCGUAAAUCCUUAAACCUCUCCCAAGUUUCAUAUAAAGACUCGUCAUCCUAUUGAUAAAAAGUGGCUAUCUUAUUUCUCAAUUU